rnacentral:rRNA from 1 species
AUGAACGCUGGCUACAGGCUUAACACAUGCAAGUCGAGGGGAAACGACGGGGAAGCUUGCUUCCCCGGGCGUCGACCGGCGCACGGGUGAGUAACGCGUAUCCAACCUGCCUCUGACUGAGGGAUAACCCGUCGAAAGUCGGCCUAAUACCUCAUGGUAUCGUCUGCGGGCAUCCAACGACGAUUAAAGAUUUCAUCGGUCAGGGAUGGGGAUGCGUCUGAUUAGCUUGUUGGCGGGGUAACGGCCCACCAAGGCUACGAUCAGUAGGGGUUCUGAGAGGAAGGUCCCCCACAUUGGAACUGAGACACGGUCCAAAGUCCUACGGGAGGCAGUAGUGAGGAAUAUUGGUCAAUGGGCGAGAGCAUGAACCAGCCAAGUAGCGUGCAGGAAGACGGCCCUAUGGGUUGUAAACUGCUUUUAGGCGGGGAUAAAGUGAGGGACGUGUCCCUCAUUGCAGGUACCGCAUGAAUAAGGACCGGCUAAUUCCGUG